rnacentral:hammerhead_ribozyme from 1 species
AUCCAGCUGACGAGUUCCAAAUAGGACGAAGUAUUCGUCUUGGAU